rnacentral:rRNA from 1 species
CAGCAGCCGCGGUAAUACGGAGGGGGCUAGCGUUGUUCGGAAUUACUGGGCGUAAAGCGCACGUAGGCGGCUUUGUAAGUUAGAGGUGAAAGCCUGGAGCUCAACUCCAGAAUUGCCUUUAAGACUGCAUCGCUUGAAUCCAGGAGAGGUGAGUGGAAUUCCGAGUGUAGAGGUGAAAUUCGUAGAUAUUCGGAAGAACACCAGUGGCGAAGGCGGCUCACUGGACUGGUAUUGACGCUGAGGUGCGAAAGCGUGGGGAGCAAACAGGAUUAGAUACCCCUGUAGUCCCUGUCUUUAUACA